AUUAGCGCUAGCGGCAGGCAUAAUACAUGCAAGUUGAACGGCAGCACAGGUAGCAAUACCGGGUGGCGAGUGGCGCACGGGUGCGUAACACGUAUGCAACCUACCCUAUACAGGCGAAUAACCUUUAGAAAUGAGGGCUAAUACGCCGUGGUAUUAUCUUGGGGCAUCUUGAGAUAAUUAAAGAUUUAUCGGUAUAGGAUGGGCAUGCGUCCCAUUAGUUAGUUGGUAGGGUAACGGCCUACCAAGGCUAUGAUGGGUAGGGG
rnacentral:rRNA from 1 species